AUUGAACGCUGGCGGCAGGCCUAACACAUGCAAGUCGAGCGAGCGGCGGACGGGUGAAUAAUGUAGGAGGACGUGCGUAAUCGAGGGGGAUAACGACGGGAAACGGUGGCUAAUACCGCAUACCAUCAGCUAAACCCAUAUGGUAUGAGCUUGUAGGUGAGGUAACGGCUCACCUAGGCGACGAUCCGUAGCUGGUCUGAGAGGCUGAUCAGCCACACUGGGACUGAGACACGGCCCAGUCUCCUACGGGAGGCAGCAGUGGGGAAUAUUGCACAAUGGGCGCAAGCCUGAUGCAGCCAUGCCGCGUGUAUGAAGAAGGCCUUCGGGUUGUAAAGUACUUUCAGUCGGGAAGCGUUACCGACAGAAGAAGCCCCGGCUAACUCCGUGCCAGCCGCCGCGGUAAUUC
rnacentral:rRNA from 1 species